AGGAAAAAAAAAAGCUUGUAUCAACAAGGAUCCAAUUUCUGCCCUCCUGUGUCCGUCCUUUUAUCUCCUUCUGUCCCUUUACUACAAGAACUCUAUUAUGCUACACUUGGAUAACUCUGGAAACUGGGCUAAAAACAGUUUGCAAAGCUGGAGAGGUGGCAGACAAAGAAUCAUGGAAAGCUGGAGAAGACAAAGGAGUCAAGGGAUGAUGAAAGUUUGGAAGAUGAUGGAGAAUCGGAAAAUAGUGCUAUUAUUUUUCCUUAAUUAAUUAAAUACGUUUCUCCAAGAAAGUGCAAGCUGUACCAUGAACAAUUCUGCCAUCUGAUUUAAUCUGUACAUGCCUCCAUUUUAAAGGAAUUUUGGAAGAAAUGAACAAUGAAGUAG
rnacentral:lncRNA from 1 species